GUUUGAGUGGGCCGCUUGUCAGAUGUUUUUACUGUGGCUUGGUAGAUAACAGAUUUUGCCAGACAAUUUUUUGACAUAGGGCAUUCACUUGGUUUUUGGCAAUUGCACUUUUUAGUGUGAAGUUUCACUUCACACUGUUGUGAUGGCUGGCGAAUUCACACGAAUCAGUCAGUCAGGCAAUCAGUCAGUCAGGCAAUCAGUCACUCAGUCAGUCAUAGAGUAAACUUUCCGGGGGGGUUAUACGAUUUAUGUUCGCAGUGAUUUAUUGUACUUAGUCAGUGCUUUGAAGGUUAUUUAAGCAAUUUUAUUUACUUUCUUUAAAUAUUCUUUCUUCCUUUUACUAAGUUCACAAAAAUUUCGAGGAAUCGUUGUCGUUAUUGUAAAGUUUUGUAAUUUUAGAACAUUCGCUUCUCAUGUUGUGUAAAGGAUCUUUCCACCGGAACACCCGAUUUUUCAUAGCAGCGCAAAUGCGCAUGCGCUGUGAAGCCGUAGAUCACGAUGCUGGGAAGGAGCGACAGAGUGUUGUUUUCCGAAUAUGUAUAAACCUUUCAGACGUGAAUAUUGAGUAAAUCUUUGAGAAUCUACGCAAUAUAUAAAUUUAUGUUAUGCAUGACGGUCUUUCAAUCAAGUACUGAUAUAUGUAGACGGUAUAUUUAUUAUACAGAGCUAGGAAGGAGCGACAGUGUUGUUUUCAAAUGUAUAAACAUUUCAGACGUAAAUAUUGAGAAAAUCUUUG